rnacentral:rRNA from 1 species
GAUGAACGCUGGCGGCGUGCCUAAUACAUGCAAGUCGAACGAAGCUUGACGGAUGAUUUCUUCGGAAUGAAACCAGAUAUGACUUAGUGGCGGACGGGUGAGUAACACGUGAGCAACCUGCCUUUCAGAGGGGGAUAACGGCUGGAAACGGUCGCUAAUACCGCAUGAUGUGUUCGGAUGGCAUCAUCUGAACAUCAAAGAUUUAUCGCUGAAAGAUGGGCUCGCGUCUGAUUAGAUAGUUGGUGGGGUAACGGCCUACCAAGUCUACGAUCAGUAGCCGGACUGAGAGGUUGAACGGCCACAUUGGGACUGAGAUACGGCCCAGACUCCUACGGGAGGCAGCAGUGGGGAAUAUUGCACAAUGGGGGAAACCCUGAUGCAGCAACGCCGCGUGAAGGAUGACGGUUUUCGGAUUGUAAAUUUCUUUUCUUAGUGACGAAGACAGUGACGGUAGCUAAGGAAUAAGCAUCGGCUAACUACGUG